CAGGUGUCUCCGGAAGGUGGUGAUUGACUCCGCUGUCCUGGCGUCGUGAGGGAGCUUGUUCCACCAUUGGGGUGCCAGAGCAGCGAACAGUUUUGACUGGGCUGAGCGGGAACUGUGCUUCCUCAGAGGUAGGGGGGCCAGCAGGCCAGAGGUGGAUGAACGCAGUGCCCUUGUUUGGGUGUAGGGCCUGAUCAGAGCCUGAAGUGCAGGGCUUGGGAUCCCGGGAUCGCAGGCAGUUGGAUCAGGAGGGCCAAGAGGUUGUAAAUGAGGGGGUCCGCAUACCGGGACUAGAUGUACCCCAACAGUCCGAUGACAACAGGAUGGUGGACAUGCACAUCAUUGACGAUGAGGACUUCACCCCCCAGAGCCAACUGUGUUGGAGGAGGCAGAGCAGGAGCAGCAGAUGUAUCUGGAGAAGCAGAGGAAGCUCAAACAGAAGCAGCUGUUCAAAGACUCGGGAAAAGAUGUGAACAUUCUGUUCAUAACUGUUCCUCUCUUUACUUACAAUGCUAGAAUAUAACUGUGGCCAAAGAUCCUAUCCAGUGCAAGGAUCUCUUCUUUGACAACUGAAAACAGCAAUAUUGUGUGGAUUACUAUAAAACAUGUGAUAUUCAAUCACUAAUAAAUGUUAAAUGGUUAAAAAAUUGUUCUCACUCUCUUGCAGAGCAGGUAGAUUUACAUUGUUCAUUGUUCGAUUAUAUCAAUUACAUAGAUUUUCAGGUCCACUGUAGACCUACAGGAAAAUACACAGACA
rnacentral:lncRNA from 1 species